rfam:Drosophila grimshawi strain TSC#15287-2541.00 scaffold_15110 genomic scaffold, whole genome shotgun sequence.
GUCAGGAUGGCCGAGCGGUCUAAGGCGCCAGACUCAAGAGCAAUUUAACUCUUGCCUAUCACAGAUAGGCGGAUGAAUGAGCGUUCUGGUCCUCUUUGAGGGCGUGGGUUCGAAUCCCACUUCUGACA